AGUGGCGGACGGGUGAGUAACGCGUGAGAAUCUGCCUUGGGGUCGGGGACAACCACUGGAAACGGUGGCUAAUACCGGAUAAGCCGAUUGGUGAAAGAUUUAUUGCCCGAAGAGGAGCUCGCGUCUGAUUAGCUAGUUGGUGAGGUAAGAGCUCACCAAGGCAGCGAUCAGUAGCUGGUCUGAGAGGACGAUCAGCCACACUGGGACUGAGACACGGCCCAGACUCCUACGGGAGGCAGCAGUGGGGAAUUUUCCGCAAUGGGCGAAAGCCUGACGGAGCAAGACCGCGUGAGGGAGGAAGGUUCUUGGGUUGUAAACCUCUUUUCUCAGGGAAGAAGCUCUGACGGUACCUGAGGAAUCAGCCUCGGCUAACUCCGUGCCAGCAGCCGCGGUAAUACGGAGGAGGCAAGCGUUAUCCGGAAUUAUUGGGCGUAAAGCGUCCGCAGGUGGCGAUUCAAGUCUGCUGUCAAAGCACGGGGCUUAACUCCGUAAAGGCAGUGGAAACUGAAUAGCUAGAGUGCCGUAGGGGUAGAGGGAAUUCCCGGUGUAGCGGUGAAAUGCGUAGAGAUCGGGAAGAACAUCGGUGGCGAAAGCGCUCUACUGGACGGCAACUGACACUCAGGGACGAAAGCUAGGGGAGCGAAUGGGAUUAGAUACCCC
rnacentral:rRNA from 1 species